rnacentral:lncRNA from 1 species
GGCCCCAGGGGCUUAUAAAGGAGAGGAAGGGGGUGGAGUGUGAGGUUGGUAAAAGCAGCGGAAGCUGGCUUGGCAUCCUGGAGGAGCAGGAAGAGAGUUCAUGUUCCACCUUCCCCUCUUCCCCACUAUUCCACAGGGUCUGGAGGAGAAGAGCAGAGGGGUCUCUGGUUCCCAGGAAAGGGCCUGGGCCAGACUUUCUGAUGGAGACAGCUGGGUGGUGAGUGUCCAGGCAGACAGGACUGAGGCUUGCCU